AUACAUUUACACCUAGAAGUGUAGUGACACAAUAUACAUUUACACCUAGAAGACUUAUAUCUCUAUGAAAAAAUCAUAUCUCUAUAAUAAGAAAUAAAUAAGUGUUAACAUCUAAAUUAGACCUUAACGAAGGCUUCGAUACACCUAAGGUAGGGAGUAUCCGUACUGUAUCAUUUAAGGCAUUCUGUCAAGAGUAGAUGGUAUAAAAGAGUGAGUCUCAAUUUAAGGUUUUCACCGAUGACAGAUGGAAGUAGAUGAUUUAUGAAGUCCCAGAGAUAAUUUGGUGUGCGUCUUAUACAGCAGUUAGAGUUUUCUACGUUUUCUACGGCUAACAAGAGUUUCCAGUUUCUUCUCUUUGCGCAUUCUCUAGCUUUUCCUAUUCGAAUUGAGCACAUCCAUCCCACAAUUCGCAAGCAUAUUCCCCAUUUUGCAUCAGAACUAAAAGUUAAAAUUGAUCAGUAAAUCUUAAUCAUUAUGAAUGUUUGCAAAAUUACCGAUCAAAAAACACAUCUGUCCUAUCGGGCUCAAAAGUAACCAACCAUGUUUUAGCCCAUGUGUUUGACUUAUCUAGAUCAAUAUUCAAAGUUUCUUGAAUUUCAAGACAAGAUUAUGAUGACUUCAGCAGUAAAGAAUUAUCUGCAAAUAGACGAGAGGCAGAUUGAAAGAUUUGAAAACAAAAGUGGCCCAAAAAUUGAGCAUUGAGAAACGCUGGUCUCACUUAGACUAACAGUAGAAAAAAUGUUAUUUAGAAAAUACCUUUUGGUUCAAUUCACCUGAUGUACCUUUAUGGUAGCAUUUUCCCUUUUAAGUAGGCGCCAAUAUGACUUAAAAUUGGAAAAUGAAUACCCACCAAUAAUGCCAUGAACAUUUUCGUAAAAGUGAUACGCGCAUUUGGUCAUGUUUUAACUUUGUUUCGUUGUGAUUUUGAUUUAUAAAUGUCUGAAAUAGCUUUGGUUAACCUCGCAAUUUUAUUCAACCUUUUCUUGAUUCUCUUUUUUUUCUAAGCUCCGAGGUCGUGUACGGAUUAUCGUUAGGCAUUAUUGAUACUUCUUUGUAGAACGACAUUCGUUUACAAAAUUUAGGAAACUCACCGUUAAAAUUGUCACCAGCUACUGCUUACAUACAUUUAGGGGGUAGCGGUGGCCGAGUGGUUCAGGUGUCCCGACACCUUAUCACUAGUCCUCCACCUCUGGGUCGAAAGUUCGAAACCUACGUGCGACAGUUGCCAGGUACUGACCGUAGGCCGAUGGUUUUUCUCUGGGUUCUCCAGCUUUCCUCCACCUCCAAAACCUGGCACGUCCUUAUAUGACCCUGGCUGUAAAUAGGACGUUAAGCAAAUACAAAAAAGAAAUCAUAUUACCUAUUUUGUUAAAAUAUUUACCCUUUUAAUUGUAUAACAAAAUUGUGCAUUGUUUGUUUUAUUUUGUCCCUAUGCCUUUCGGGUUUUUAAUUAUUAUUCUUUAUAUUAAGUUUGAAUGUACAUAUGUAGUUUUAUAUUAGUUGAUCAUUUGAUGUAAAGUUUACUUGUUUUGCUACACUGUUUUACAUAUAAAUUACUAAUGUUUCUUAUAUUGACAUGUCUUCCAGCCAUAAGCGAUAUAUGGAGAGUGAUUAUGUAUGGAGAUGAGAUAUAUAAGUAAUGCACAUUUUAUCAGUAUGUAUUAGCUACUCUGCUACGAUUAUUUUGGAUGCUCAAUGUUUGUUUUCUUUCGUCUGUUGUGUUUGUGAUGUUAGACUUCACACGUUAAUAAAAACUUCCAAAGUUAAGUGACUAGUCUACGUCCAUAAUUUGUCUUUUGUAUUAAUUACUAAUUUCGUGUCUUUUGUACAAUCAUUUGGCACGAUUUUUAAAACCAACCUAACUAGCUAUUUUAUAAGUUUUAUCCUGGUUGGUUAAGACGGUAUAUAUAGUUUUUAUACCAACCUAACUAGCUAUUUUAUAAGUUUUAUCCUGGUUGGUUAAGAAGGUAUAUAUAUUUUUUAAACCAACCUAACUAGCUAUUGUAUAAGUUUUAUCCUGGUUGGUUAAGAAGGUAUAUAUAGUUUUUAAACCAACCUAACUAGCUAUUUUAUGUCAUAAGUUGUAUCCUGGAUGGUUAAAAAGGUAUAUAUAUUUUUUAUACCAACCUAACUAGCUAUUCUGUAAGUUUGAUCCUGGUUGGUUAAGAAGGUAUAUAUAUUUUUUAAACCUACCUAACUAGCUAUUGUAUAAGUUUUAUCCUGGUUGGUUAAGAAGGUAUCUAUAGUUUUUAAACUAACCUAACUAGCUAUUUUAUGUCAUAAGUUUUAUCCUGGUUGGUUAAGAAGGUAUAUAUAGUUUUAAAACCAACCUAACUAGCUAUUUUAUAAGUUUUAUCCUGGCUGGUUAAGAAGGUAUAUAUAGUUUUUAAACCAACAUAACUAGCUAUUUUAUCAGUUUUAUCCCGGUUGGUUAAGAAGGUAUAUAUAUUUUUUAAACCAACCUAACUAGCUAUUGUAUAAGUUUUAUCCUGGUUGGUUAAGAAGGUAUAUAUAUUUUUUAAACCAACCUAACUAGCUAUUGUAUAAGUUUUAUCCUGGUUGGUUAAGAAGGUAUAUAUAGUUUUUAAACCAACCUAACUAGCUAUUUUAUGUCAUAAGUUGUAUCCUGGAUGGUUAAAAAGGUAUAUUUUUUUUUAUACCAACCUAACUAGCUAUUCUGUAAGUUUGAUCCUGGUUGGUUAAGAAGGUAUAUAUAUUUUUUAAACCUACCUAACUAGCUAUUGUAUAAGUUUUAUCCUGGUUGGUUAAGAAGGUAUAUAUAUCUUUUAAACCAACCUAACUAGCUAUUGUAUAAGUUUUAUCCUGGUUGGUUAAGAAGGUAUAUAUAUUUUUUAAACCAACCUAACUAGCUAUUGUAUAAGUUUUAUCCUGGUUGGUUAAGAAGGUAUAUAUAGUUUUUAAACCAACCUAACUAGCUAUUUUAUGUCAUAAGUUGUAUCCUGGAUGGUUAAAAAGGUAUAUAUUUUUUUUAUACCAACCUAACUAGCUAUUCUGUAAGUUUGAUCCUGGUUGGUUAAGAAGGUAUAUAUAUUUUUUAAACCUACCUAACUAGCUAUUGUAUAAGUUUUAUCCUGGUUGGUUAAGAAGGUAUCUAUAGUUUUUAAACUAACCUAACUAGCUAUUUUAUGUCAUAAGUUUUAUCCUGGUUGGUUAAGAAGGUAUAUAUAGUUUUUAAACCAACCUAACUAGCUAUUUUAUAAGUUUUAUCCUGGCUGGUUAAGAAGGUAUAUAUAGUUUUUAAACCAACAUAACUAGCUAUUUUAUCAGUUUUAUCCUGGUUGGUUAAGAAGGUAUAUAUAGUUUUUAAACCAACCUAACUAGCUAUUUUAUAAGUUUUAUCCUGGUUGGUUAAGAAGGUAUAUAUAUAUUGAUGAAAUACUGUCAGCGGCACCACGAUCUACAAUUUAAAUGUUGUCUUGUGUUUACAUUGUAGGUGUAAUGUUCAAGAUGUUUGUGUCUGAACUAUAAUCUUUAAAACAUAUCAAACAUUCUUUAGUACAUGUAAGUUAUCAUUUUUGUAUACAAAUUCAAUAUAAAUUUACAUACCACAAAACAAAUGUAAAUCACAGUUAGUGAUAACUACCCCAAUAUAAUACCCAUCACGUCCACUUUACAACACCAAUGUCGCAAAAAACUUACCACUACCCCAAUAUAAUACCCACCACGUCCACUGUCUAACACCAAUGUCACAAAUAUUUAUCACUACCCCAAUAUAAUACCCACCACGUACACUGUCCAACACCAAUGUCACAAAUAUUUAUCACUACCCCAAUAUAAUACCCAUCACGUCCACUUUCCAACACCAAUGUCACAAAUACUUAUCACUACCCCAAUAUAAUACCCACCACGUACAUUGUCCAACACCAAUGUCACAAAUACUUAUCACUACCCCAAUAUAAUACCCACCACGUACACUGUCCAACACCAAUGUCACAAAUACUUAUCACUACCCCAAUAUAAUACCCACCACGUACAUUGUCCAACACCAAUGUCACAAAUAUUUAUCACUACCCCGAUAUAAUACCCACCACGUACACUGUCCAACACCAAUGUCACAAAUACUUAUCACUACCCCAAUAUAAUACCCACCACGUACACUGUCCAACACCAAUGUCACAAAUACUUAUCACUACCCCAAUAUAAUACCCACCACGUACAUUGUCCAACACCAAUGUCACAAAUAUUUAUCACUACCCCGAUAUAAUACCCACCACGUACACUGUCCAACACCAAUGUCACAAAUACUUAUCACUACCCCAAUAUAAUACCCACCACGUACAUUGUCCAACACCAAUGUCACAAAUACUUAUCACUACCCCAAUAUAAUACCCACCACGUACACUGUCCAACACCAAUGUCACAAAUACUUAUCACUACCCCAAUAUAAUACCCACCACGUACAUUGUCCAACACCAAUGUCACAAAUAUUUAUCACUACCCCGAUAUAAUACCCACCACGUACACUGUCCAACACCAAUGUCACAAAUACUUAUCACUACCCCAAUAUAAUACCCAUCACGUCCACUUUCCAACACCAAUGUCACAAAUAUUUAUCACUACCCCGAUAUAAUACCCAUCACGUCCACUUUCCAACACCAAUGUCACAAAUACUUAUCACUACCCCAAUAUAAUACCCACCACGUACAUUGUCCAACACCAAUGUCACAAAUAUUUAUCACUACCCCGAUAUAAUACCCACCACGUACACUGUCCAACACCAAUGUCACAAAUACUUAUCACUACCCCGAUAUAAUACCCAUCACGUCCACUUUCCAACACCAAUGUCACAGUUAGUGAUAACUACCCCAAUAUAAUACCCACCACGUCCACUUUCCAACACCAAUGUCACAAAUACUUAUCACUACCCCAAUAUAAUACCCAUCACGUCCACGUUCCAACACCAAUGUCACAAAUACUUAUCACUACCCCAAUAUAAUACCCAUCACGUCCACUGUCCAACACCAAUGUCAUAAAUAUUUAUCACUACCCCAAUAUAAUACCCAUCACGUCCACGUUCCAACACCAAUGUCACAAAUACUUACCACUACGCCAAUAUAAUACCCAUCACGCCCACUGUCCAACACUAAUGUCACAGUUAGUGAUAACUAAUCCAAUAUAAUACCCACCACGUCCACUGUCCAACACCAAUGUCACAAAUACUUAUCACUACCCCAAUAUAAUACCCACCACGUCCACUGUCAAUGACAGAAUGAUGUAUUCAAUAAUAAAUACAAACACAACACUUGUCUUGUUUUACCUUGUGGUUCUGUAAAAUGGAAACAGUUAUGUGUUAUAUAUUGAAAUGUGAAUGAGGUUUGCCAUGAUCUAAAUGAGGCAAUAUAACCGUAGAUGGAAUCCCCCAUCGUCUAGAUGUUCAAAAGCGAUGGUAAGUAGGUUCCUCAUCUCUGUCCUUAGCGGGAAGUUCAAAUGUGGCAUUACAACAUCAUGUUGCAGAUCUCUUUCUUAUUUCUUAUUUUAUUAACUUAGUAUCAAUUACAAAAUAUCUCUGCUUUUUAUCUUUCAAGCUUAACACCAAAGAACACAUCCUCAAUACCCCAUGGUUUACGUUUACUUUCGCUCUCUGUACCUUUGGAAUAUGUCAUGCCAAAAUCGAGGGCUCAGCCAACUUCUAUGAUGAUAAAAUAAGAAAACUGAUGGCUCAGUUGGUAAGUGUUCCGAGGUACGCGGCUGGACGCUUCAAACCGGUUUUGAUUGGUGUUUCUCGGGAUGCUGAGAAUCUGCCGGUCUGUGUUGUCGUGGUUAUGUCCUUAGCCACCCUAAUCCCUCUAGACGGUCCUCCUAUUGUUCUGUAAGGUAGUCAUCAACUACUAAAAUGGCGCCCCACCUCAAAAUGACCCUGAUUGUUCACAGGUCAAUACACUCAGCAAACAAAUAAAUAAUAAAAACAGAAUUAUCCACUGACGUAAUCUAACAAGCCUCGAAGUCUCAAUACCGUUACAUUCACUGGCUUUGAACUUGGUUAACACUCCUCUGAGAUUUUCAAAAUAGAUUCAUCAUCUUAACGAUCAGAUUUUGUUUCCCGACACCAAUCAAACAGCUAGCUGUGUUCCAUAUAUUUUUAUCAUGACAUAUUCCAGGGGCAUGAAGAGCGGAAGUAAACGAACCCCCUGGUGUAUCGUGGAUACAAAUACCAACAUUUUUACAAGUGAUUUCAAUGUACAAGCCAGUAAGGUCCGGUUGGGGACAUGAUUUUUUACUUAUAUAAUGUAAAUGUUGUUUGCAAAUAAACUUGAUUUAAUGUU